rnacentral:lncRNA from 1 species
UCCUAAUGAAUAACAAAAACACACAAUUAGCAUCAAAAUCAUCAUAAAAGGAUCAAGACCCACCAAACAGCAAAAUAACCACAGCCAUUCACCCCAUUUUUCAACAUAGCAGCAGAAUUACAAUACAACAAUUAUCAGAAAUAUGAAAAGUAUAUCAGAAAAACUUAACCCUAAUCACAUGAGCAUAAUCAUUGCAUAUAUUACAAAACAAGUAAAACAGACCAUGAAAACACAUUUAUAUGAAAUGAUUGCAAUAAUAAUUGUAAAUCAGUAACCCCAAUUUCUGCAAUUAUCAUCGAAAAUUUGAAAAACAAAAAAAAGGGAUAUACGAUAUAGGGAGCAGAAUAUACCUCUCUGCCAGGGUGGAAAGGAACGUCAGGUCCACCAGUGACCUCAACAGCGACAACACCAGCCAACUGAAUCAUCACAAUUGAAAGCAAUAAACAUCAAACACAGUCUAACAAACCAGAUCUAAGAAAAUGAAACAAAAGCACGAUUCGAAUUAUGAAGAGAUAGAACACUACUGACCUGGUAGAAAUCAGCAUAGGACAAGAUGGGGAACUGCUCCUUAAGCGGCUCCAACAGCCUCACAGCGAUGUCAAGACCAUUGUUAGCACCGUGAGCGAGCUCAGCAGCGUGCUUCAUGGUUCCGAAGGGACCACCAGUCUUGGUCUUCACAUCAAAGGUCCCAGCAGAGUGCCAUCUACACACACAAUCGCAAAAUCAAUAUUCAUCAACACAACAAUCUCAAAAUUCAAACGCAAAUCAAAGUGAUAACAAGGACUGUGUGUGAGUGUGAAAUUCUUACGCCAAACGGAGCAUAAGAGGAGCGCAUUUCUUGUCAGCGAUGAAGCCUCUGAGCUUUCUCCUGGCCUUCUCGAUAGCCUUCUGGUAAUCAGCGCUGACGGUAGGGUAAGACUUUCCCAUGGCUGGAGAUUCUGCAAC